UCAGGGAAGUGAGACCAAGAAAUCACCCACUCACAGGCAGUCGUUGGCUUGGGGGACAUAGUAGAAAGCAGGGACUCUGGCUUCAUACUUGGCCUUCACACGGAGGUUCCCAUUGUGGCUCAUAAACUGUAAGACAAGAGCAACUUGGGGUAAUAUUAGAACUUGAAAAAAAUGUGAAAUGAAACCACUGUCUACCCAGAAGGCCACUCUUCCCAUUGGCUCCUAGGCUGAGUCAGGAAAUGCUCCUGGAGUUUGAUGCAUCCUAUUGGGCUUGGUCAUACAUGCUGCUGGGAAGCCACAGCCUGGAACAAUGAGGCACUACAACCGUGGCUCACAUGGGCAGAGCACUCUAUGGUUUUUACCCUAGUGGAUUCAUUCGAUUCCCUAGACCAUUUUAAUACUAUCAUCCCCAUAUUAGAGAUGGCCAGGACCACCAGCAGCUACGUGCAGGAGAUAGACAUAGCUGGAGGACAGAAGAAGUUGGAGCUGGCCCCAUGGAGUAGGCGAAGAAGGACAUGUCUGUGUCUCUGGGCUCCUUGGAAGAUUAGACACGCUCUAACCCGUGAAAGCGUUCUACUGAUGUAUCGCUUGCAUCUACUUAGAGAGAUUCCAGUGCUAACUCCGAGGAAACGCUCCUUGAUACCCAGCCUCGAGCAAUCUCUCCGGCUUCUGGUCCUGCUGGAACCCUGUUAUGGGAUCCGUCCCUCCCUUCGGCCCCGAGCACUUUCUAUCUACAUUGCAUCACAGUUAUUUAUAUAUUUAUGUUAACUCCUCUCCCACCUCCAGCACGCACAGGGCCACGCUGAAUAGUUCACAUCAGUAGCUUUAUUUCUGUAUCCCACACAACCCUAGAAACCCAGCACCUGCCCAUUUUUAGAAGUCCAAUAAACAGUUGCAUGACUGUUCACGGGGAAGUGUCGUUUCACCAAUGUGGACUUCACCAGGCACUUUUAUCUGUUAAGUUCCAUCACUGUCAGGUGUGGCCAGGGCUUUGAUAGUCUUGAAUCUAGGGUCUCCCCCCACCAUCCUUGUCCCUCCUUGACCCCUUUCUCUGGGAUCUCCGGGUGUCUGGUAAGGCACAGAUGGCACACACUUGCCUUCCCCUCUGUAGGUAAACACCCAUCUGUCAUAUGCAUAUAGCUUUAUGCACAAGGAUGUUAGAUUUCCAUCCCGAUGAUUACAGUUGAAGUUCAAGCUGACCUACCAGUAUCCCAACUCAACAUGCAUGCAUAGGUACAUGUGAAUACAUAGGGCAGCAUGAUAUAAUGGAAUGAGUCCAAGAAUACAGAUUUUGAAUCUUGACUCCACCACUUACUAGCUACGUGGCCUUGGGCAAAUUCUUUCACUUCUCUGAGCCUUAUAUUCCUCGCCUGUAAAAUGAGAAUUAGGGACGAUCCAUUUAAUGGGGUUGUUGAGAUGUGCCAGGACGUGCAUGGCACACAAAGUCCUCAGAACACAGGGCUGCCUUCCUUUCCCUGCCCGUCUGGUCAGCUCGUGGGAUCAUCAUUUGGAAUGCUGUGUGUCAUUUCCCAUCUUCCACAGGGUGGAGGAGGUCAAGCCUCUGGGCCUGGGAGGAGGGGGACAUUCCCAAAAAUAAUCAGUCAGGAGAGUCUCAACUGUGGGGGGUGAGACCUAGCCCAGAGGCAGCUCUAGAGGAACCAGAGAGAGCCCCAGAGGGGUCAGAGGGCAUGGGGCUUGUUUACCAAAUAGGCUGAAAGAUGAUUCAUUUCCGCUGUUUUAGAUGAAAAAGGAGACAGAAAUAAAUCUCCCAGGAGACAGAUGGGAAAGGCAACUUAAGAUAGGAAGGCAAGAAGGGAGGACGUAGGGGGCAAUGAGGGGACAGGGCAAGGACAUCAUUUCGCUGCUGCCCAAUGCCUGGGCGAAACCCUCAGCCUUCCUAGUUCAUGUACCUUUGUCCCGCUCUCCUCUGACACAAGGAGUCUCACCAUUUUGUGAGAUCCCACAAAAGCCAACCCCAGCAAAACUAGAUCUCCUUCAUGGUGAGGAGCCAGAGAUGGAGAGAUUCCUUUAGUUUGUCCUCCUCCUGUUUUAUUUCUGGAGGUUUCCAUUUACUGAAUUCCAAGCCUCA